rnacentral:lncRNA from 1 species
UUAAACUUCAAGAUUGAUUCAACACCAUAGACAGUGUUGCCCCGAAACUUAUGUUGUUUAAGGUGGAUUAACGAAGGAUAGCAGGCGGACCUUGACCCGUUACUUAGAAAAGUAAGAACCAAAGGUAUAAGAAGUUGGACGAACGCUACACUCAGGAGAGUGAUAAGUUCGGAAGACAAGGACUGACGCCACUAACUAACAGAUAAGCCAAUCAAGUCUUAAAACAAAAUAUGAGAGAAGAAAUUCUCACAAACUAAACUGAUUUUUAUAAAAGUGUUCGUUCCCCUCCAAAGUAAAAAUGAUCACAAAUUUAUAGCAUAAAAACUAGCUAGCUGAAUGGACAAAAAUCAAGCUGAAUGGUCACUUGGUUCAGCCUUUAAAUGAGCUAGAAAUUCCAGAAUUUUUCAAGAAACUUCCAGGAUGCUUCUCCACCCAUUUGGAACACCACAGGACAACUUCUAGAUGAAGGAAAGUCAGCUGAAUGCAUUUGGAAGGGUUGGGAGCUGAUUGGCCAUAUCUAUGUUCCUCCAAGUGCUUAAAUGAGCUCCUUUAAUCCUGCCUUGAGAAACUGAACGUGCAGCAGCACUUUAAUGGAAGUUUUGGAACACAAACAGCCCAAAUAGUGUGAAUACUUGAACUCCAAUAGCCUCCCAAUGUGAAAGAACGAAAAUGAUUAGCUUCCUUGUGUGAAAGUAUGGUGUGAACAGCAUAUUGGCUAUUGAAAUGCACGAACAGACUUUUGGAGAAAAAUAAAGGUUGCUGGAUUUAAUUUUAGCUUAAUGCUGCAGCAAGAUACAUUUUCCAUUUAUUGCCGUCUAUGCAUGUAUGCUGCUACAAAUUUAAACCACACUUAAAUGAGUUGGGACAUAUUAAAUUCGUCCACCAGCAGCUCAUUAAAUUCGUCAACCAGCAGCUCAUUAAAUCUGUCCAGGCGUGAUGUCCUUUAAUACUUCAGCUCCUUAUUAAUGCCGUCCUAUGCUUGCACCUGUACACACAAAUUAAUUCAGCACAUUAAUUAAUUUAGACACAUUUAAAAAUUAUGCAAGGAACAAGACAAACUAAAAACAUGUUGGAACUAAGUCAUAUUAAAUUCGGCUGCAAUUAAUUAAGUCAAAAAGUCAGCUAAGACAAAUUAAUUAGCAGCAAUUAAUAAAUUUGUCUUAAGUAAUUUGUCUUAAGUAAGACUAAAUAAGUUCCAGAAAAUUAAGUCACAUUUAAACCUUGUAAGCUAGAAAACUUAAUGAGCCAAUAAAAACUAAGACACAUUAAAUUGCUGGAACAAGACAAAUUAAUUGUUAAAACUAAUUUAACUAAUUCAACUAAUCAGCAAAUCAAAUGAUUUAUUUCAGCAAAAUAAAUGCAAAAUAAAAUGAGCUGAAAUGAGCUCAUCAAGCUAAAAAUAUCAUGUAAAUUAUUUAAUUAAUUAAAUGAAAAAGUUGGAAAAUUAAAAAGAAGCUCAAGCAAACUGUAACAAGCUAAAAUUCAAACAAAUUCAGCUCGCAAUGGAUUGCAAGGAACUAUUCAAGGAGGGCGCUCGGGCGUGGUCGUAUCAUCCUCCCCCUCUUCGAAGCGACUUGUCCUCAAGUCGGGCUACUUACUUGCAACAAAACGCUCGUCGAUACAAGGCCCUUGGUUGUCACAUUUUAUAAAAACCUAAAUAUAACACACAACUAUGAAGGAUGACAAAUUAGUCACGUGUCCUCCGUUGUUAGGAAUGACCCACUUCAAUGAUUUACCGACACAAUAAAAGAAAGUAUUAAGGGCACACCAAAUUAAGAAUUUACAAAUUUGUUUCAUGUUCUCCAACCAAAAUAAAUCAUUUCCAAAUUCAAGAGUAUAAAUAAAUCUUACCUUUUCAAAAUGGAUCUCCAUGAUCGGCAAUAUUGAAAGCAUAGGAAGCAAUGUAAUAGACAUGGGAAAAUCAUUCGAAUAGGUACUCACUCCAAGGGGUAAUGCUUUAUCAAAUGAUCGUCUCAAAACCAAGCAGGUUUUAAGGUAUUGAUUCUCCUCAAAUUGCUUCCACAAGUUGUCGCUUAGUCAAAAUAAGUUAAUGAAAUAGUUCAAGUGUUGCAAGUUUUCAACAUAAGCAAACAAGGAAUAAGGUUCAUAUGUUACCUUGUCAUCAUCUAAAGCAACCAGAUUUUUACAAGUCCAAAUAGGACGUUCAACCACAUCACUAUGCAAAGGGUUUUCCACAAUCAAAUCAUCAACCAUGUUUUCAUCUUCGCGCUUAAAGAACAAAGGUGUCUUAAAAUUUUCAAAAAUCAUACCUCGAUUACUUUUAGGCCUAAUACAUUGAUGUUUGGUUUUACUUUUCUCAACCAACACAAAUCUUUUUUCCUUGGAAAGAUAUUGUAGUCGGAACUCGUCAAACGAUCCUUGAGAGACCUGAAAAGAUGGGUAAACAUAAAGACAAUUUUCAUUUUUUAGAGUAUCUCCUUCACAAAGAUAAUAGAUGGUAGGGUCACCAUAAAUGGUAGGCUCGAAGGAACAAGUUGAAUCAUCUUUCACAAGUUGAUCAUUUGAUCCAAUGCCAGGAUUAAAAACAUGAGUAGUACUUACCCUUUUGGGAUGAAACAUGAAUUUCAUGUACAACUUCAUGAAAUGAUCAAGAAAUGAUUUUAUAUCCCAAGCAUCAAACAAACAUAAAUAGGUCAAACAAAAUUGAAAAUGCCUGAUUUUGCUGAAUAUCAAACUAAAAUAAUAAAGUCCAGGUUUAAACACAUGAAUUUGUUUAUUUACUCCAAAGUGUAGCAAAGGUUUCAUUUUUGUCAUUGCAUCAAUCAUGCCGAACCAAGAAAAUUGAUGCUUACGCCGAAUCAAGCAAUCAAAAUUCUUUACAUUCAUCAAAACAGAUUUGCACAAAUUUAAUGAUUUCACGCAAGGCAAGAAUUGUUGCACGUGAUCAACAUGCUCAAACAAACUAAAUACUUUUAGUGAAAACCCGUUAGCACAAAUGAUCAUAUUUGGUGUUUGUCGAACAAUUCGAACAAUAUCAAUAGGCUUUUCAUCACAAAUCACAUCAUGAAAACAAUUCCUCAAACUUUCACUUAAAAUGAAUUUAUCAACUUCAAACAAAGAAUAACAAUUGACCAAACUAAGAUAUGGGAAGCUUUUAAAAACUAAGUCAUCGGAACUUUUAUCGACAACUUUCAAACCUAAUUGUUGUCGUUCGGUUGCUAAAGAUUCUUUACCAUUAAACACUUGCGGUUGGAUUCCACCUUCAACCUUACCUUUUUCAGUCAAAUGAAAGCGUCUCUCGACAAGUAAGUAUUGUAGUUGAAACUUGUCUCGGGAAUCUUCAAAAACCUGAAUAAAAGAAACAUCAUAGAGAGAACUCGUAGUAUGGUUAGUUAAAACACUUGUGUUUUCUUGCUCUCUCUCGUUCUGUUCACUCAUUUCUUUUUCUCUCAUUUCUUUUUCAAACUCUUUUUCAAAUCCUCUCUCUUCUUCCACAACACUCGUUUCUUGUGUUUCUUUAAGCUCACUCUCUUUUUCAAGUUUCUCUUUUUUCUUCUCGAUUUCUUUUUCUUUCUCUUCACACUCUUUUUCUUUUUCAAUUUCUUCUCUUUUCUUUUUCUCGAUUUCUUUCAAAAUCCGUUCAUUUUCUUGCAUUAUCUUCUCUUGUUUUUUUUUUCUUUUGAUUUCUUUUUGUCUCAUUUUUUCAUUACAAGAAGGAGAUGUCACAAAAGAUUCAGAACGGUAAGUUUUUCGUUCGAAGGAAGAGAAAGCAUCUUCAUAGGAAAUACGAUCAUAUCUUUGUAAAUGCCCCUCCAUGGAUGGAUACUUUGAGGCACUUGGAGUAUAACUAGCACUUUCUCGUUCGUCCUCUUGAAAGAUCUUAUUCUCAAAACGUUCCUUCUUCUUACUCGAAUUCCUUGAUGAGUAGGAGUCACGAUAACGCUCUCUUCUCAGAUAGUCAUGGAAUGCAUGUCGUCGUGAGGAUCUUAACCCCGUAUCUCGAUUUGGAAAAAUUCACUUCCGUCGGAUACUUUCCUCCACUCGAUCCAAACUCUUGUGCAUUUUAUCAAAUUCAGAGUUCAUGAGUCUACGCAUCACGGUCACCAAAUAUUGAUAAUCAGACUCAGAAAAUACUUCUUGAUUCAUGAUUUGAAUGAUUAAGAACAAGACAGAAAUAAUAAACUCACCACAAAAAUCUCACGAUUCCCUCGAAAAGAAAGAAAUAGUGACACUCACACUCGUGUUUGUGCUCGUUUUGGCUUUUACCUCCUCUCGAAUGCGCUCACUCUCUCAUGCCUUUUUCCACUCUUUUCUUCUUCCGUAACUUCGUUAAAAGACUAGAGUAGGCUUUAUCGUAGUUUUCGGGGUCGACUUCAAAUGGGUUUACAAUGGUUGAUGAAUAGGGUGAAUAGGGUAGGCUAAAAAAAAUAAAAAAAUAAAUUGGUAGAAGUGUGGCGUUUGGGUAGUAAGGGAAAUAGAAAAAGAUUUGCUGAUCGGGGUUACUAGAAAAUAAACACAAACUCUCCAAUCACUUUUUUUUUCACAAUAAUUUCACCACUUUUUUUUUAAUUUUGAAUUUCCUUUUUUUUAACUUCUAAUACAAAGAAAUAAACUUAAGGGAAUUUUUGAAGCAAAAAUAUUUUUUUAAUUUUUUUUCACUUUUUUUUACAACGCACUUAUUUACUUUCGUUCACUUGAACUAUCCCCGGGAAUGAUUUCAUCGCACGAACUUCUCAUUUUAGUAACUCUGAUACCAAAUGAUACGAACCGGCCCGACGAUGCGAGUCGAGUCGUCUUAAGUUGCCCGAUCAUUUUCGAGAAAGUAUUGUUCGGUUUGGAGAAAAGGAUGUAUUUGGCUAUUUGGAGCGGAAGUUAUCAAAAGAACUCAAAAUAAAGCUAAAAUGAUGAAGAUAGGUUUGGUUGGAAAGGAACAAAAUAGAAGUUAUAUGAAUGGCUCGAUUUAGGAUAAUAAGUAAAAUAAAGAUAGAUGGUGAAAUGGAGAUUGAACUUAAACUUCAAAUUCGAUUCAACACCAUAGACAAUGUUGCCCCAGAACUAUGUUGUUUAAGGUGGAUUAACGAAGGAUAGCAGGCGGACCUUGACCCAUUACUUAGAAAAGUAAGAACCAAAGGUAUAAGAAGUUGGAGAACGCCACACUCAGGAGAGUGAUAAGUUCGGAAGACAAGGACUGACGCCACUAACUAACAGAUAAGCCAAUCAAGUCUUAAAACAAAAUAUGAGAGAAGAAAUUCUCACAAACUAAACUGAGUUUUAUAAAAGUGUUCGUUCCCCUCCAAAGUAAAAAUGAUCACAAAUUUAUAGCAUAAAAACUAGCUAGCUGAAUGGACAAAAAUCCAGCUGAAUGGUCACUUGGUUCAGUCUUUAAAUGAGCUAGAAAUUCCAGAAUUUUUCAAGAAACUUCCAGGAUGCUUCUCCACCCAUUUGGAACGCCACAGGACAACUUCUAGAUGAAGGAAAGUUAGCUGAAUGCAUUUGGAAGGGUUGGGAGCUGAUUGGCCAUGUCUAUGUUCCUCCAAGUGCUUAAAUGAGCUCCUUUAAUCCUGCCUUGAGAAACUGAACGUGCAGCAGCACUUUAAUGGAAGUUUUGGAACACAAACAACCCAAAUAGUGUGAAUACUUGAACUCCAAUAUCCUCCCAAUGUGAAAGAACGAAAAUGAUCAGCUUCCUUGUGUGAAAAUAUGGUGUGAACAGCAUAUUGGCUAUUGAAAUGCACGAACAGACUUUUGGAGAAAAAUAAAGGUUGCUGGAUUUAAUUUUAGCUUAAUGCUGCAACAAGAUACAUUUUCCAUUUAUUGCCGUCCAUGCAUGUAUGCUGCUGCAAAUUUAAACCACACUUAAAUGAGUUGGGACAUAUUAAAUUCGUCCACCAGCAGCUCAUUAAAUUCGUCAACCAACAGCUCAUUAAAUCUGUCCAGGCAUGCUGUCCUUUAAUACUUCAGCUCCUUAUUAAUGUCGUCCCAUGCUUGCACCUGUACACACAAAUUAAUUCAGUACAUUAAUUAAUUUAGACACAUUUAAAAAUUAUGCAAGGAACAAGAUAAACUAAAAACAUGCUGGAACUAAGUCAUAGUAAAUUCGGCUGCAAUUAAUUAAGUCAAAAAGUCAGCUAAGACAAAUUAAUUAGCAGCAACUAAU